rnacentral:lncRNA from 1 species
GGCUUCUUGGACACUUUGAGCCCUUGAAGACACACUCACCGUCUAAACGUAAUUAACAAGGUAAUUAACAAUAAACCAAGUUGCAAAGGAAGUAAGAAAACUCCCUUUGUUGUUCCUCCUUUUGGUUAGUGCACUUCUUUGUUGUCUUGAUUGUUGAUCUCCUAAGUGUUUGUAGUGUUUGUUUCAAGAAAGCUUGUUUCGGCUUUGGCUUUGUCUCCUCCUUAGAAUGUUGGCUUUAAUUCUCCAAUUUCCAGCACCUAUUCACAAGGGCUAAACCUUAAACCAAGUCAAAUUCCAUGCACAUAAGCACCAAGGGAGAAAUUAAAUUCCAGCACCCAAAAAGAGAGGUCAAGGAACAAAAGCAAGAAACAAAUUUAAUUGAAAGAAAACAGUACCACCAAAAGGAUUUAUAAUAUGACAACUUAGAAAGAGAUUCAAGAAAUUAAAGCAAACAAAUAAAGGUACUCAAUUAAAGGUUGGCACACAAAAAGAAUUCCUAAAGAAAAGCACUAGAUUAGAUGACCAAAUAAAAAAAACAGCACCACUGGAAAAUGUUGUGGGCCAGAAAACGUGUUUGUUCCCCGAUUUAUGUUGAUCUGUAUUUUUGGAAUUUGGCUCUGAAAUUUGUUAUGCAAGAUAUUCAGGAUCUUAUCUAAAAUCUGGCUUUGGAUUCACUCAAAACGGAUGCACCAUUUUUUUUUAAUAAAUUUUGCAAAAUUGGUGUUCGGUUAGGCCAGCUGGAGCGCUUCAGAUUUGCACUCUGAUCUUAAAAGAUUUAUCAUUUUUUUUCUGUUGCUUCUUUUGACCUAAUUCUUUUUUUGUCUUUUCUAUAACACUUUAAAC